ACCUACUGUUUAAUUUUGAGGGUUCGUUUUUACGAAUACUCAAAAUUAGCACUUUAAGCAACGGGAUUUAUCCGUUGGCGCCGUGCUUUAGCACUUUGAAAACUGCAUAUAUAUUUAGUGAUAUGACAUCUAAUUUGUAAUAUAUAAAGCUGAUAACUUUUUAAAAUUAUCGAAGUUGAUAGCUUCUAAUCUAUCAAACCUUUUUAACUGGUCAA
rnacentral:misc_RNA from 1 species